rnacentral:rRNA from 1 species
UACGGAGGGGGCAAGCGUUGUUCGGAAUUACUGGGCGUAAAGGGCGCGCAGGCGGCUGCUCAAGUCAGGCGUGAAAGGCCUGGGCUCAACCCGGGAAUUGCGCUUGAGACUGGGCUGGCUUGAGUGCGGGAGAGGAUGGUGGAAUUCCCAGUGUAGAGGUGAAAUUCGUAGAUAUUGGGAAGAACACCGGUGGCGAAGGCGGCCAUCUGGAGCCGCAACUGACGCUGAGGCGCGAAAGCGUGGGGAGCAAACAGG